rnacentral:rRNA from 1 species
GGGCCCGCACAAGCGGAGGAGCAUGUGGUUUAAUUCGAUGAUACGCGAGGAACCUUACCAAGGCUUAAAUGUAAUAUGACCGGUUGAGAGAUCAACCUUUUUCGAACAGAUUACAAGGUGCUGCAUGGUUGUCGUCAGCUCGUGCCGUGAGGUGUCGAGUUAAGUCCCAUAACGAGCGCAACCCCCUAUUUUUAGUUACCAGCGAGUAAUGUCGGGAACUCUAGAAAAACUGCCUGUGCAAACAGAGAGGAAGGUGGGAUGACGUCAAAUCAUCACGGCCCUUAUGUCUUGGGCUACACACGUGCUACAAUGGUUACUACAAUGUGAUGCCAUCUGGUGACAGAGAGCUAAUCAAUAAAGGUAAUCUC